rnacentral:rRNA from 1 species
AUAUCAAUAAGCGGAGGAAAAGAAACCAACAGGGAUUGCCCUAGUAACGGCGAGUGAAGCGGCAACAGCUCAAAUUUGAAAUCUGGCCUUCGGCCCGAGUUGUAAUUUGUAGAGGAUGCUUUUGGCGCGGUGCCUUCUGAGUUCCCUGGAACGGGACGCCAGAGAGGGUGAGAGCCCCGUACAGUCGGACACCUAGCCUUUGUAAAGCUCCUUCGACGAGUCGAGUAGUUUGGGAAUGCUGCUCAAAAUGGGAGGUAAAUUUCUUCUAAAGCUAAAUACCGGCCAGAGACCGAUAGCGCACAAGUAGAGUGAUCGAAAGAUGAAAAGCACUUUGAAAAGAGGGUUAAACAGUACGUGAAAUUGUUGAAAGGGAAGCGCUCGUGACCAGACUUGCGCUCGGUGGAUCAUCUAGCGUUCUCGCUGGUGCACUCCGCCGUGCUCAGGCCAGCAUCGGUUUCCCCGGGGGGAUAAAAGCUUCGGGAACGUGGCUCCUUCGGGAGUGUUAUAGCCCGCUGCACAAUGCCUUCGGGGGGACCGAGGUUCGCGCUCCGCAAGGAUGCUGGCGUAAUGGUUACCGGCGACCCGUCUUGAAACACGGACCAAGGAGUCAAGCAUUAGGGCGAGUGUUUGGGUGUAAAACCCGCACGCGUAAUGAAAGUGAACGUAGGUGAGAGCUUCGGCGCAUCAUCGACCGAUCCUGAUGUUCUCGGAUGGAUUUGAGUAAGAGCCUUACCGCUUGGACCCGAAAGAUGGUGAACUAUGCCUGUAUAGGGUGAAGCCAGAGGAAACUCUGGUGGAGGCUCGCAGCGGUUCUGACGUGCAAAUCGAUCGUCAAAUAUGGGCAUGGGGGCGAAAGACUAAUCGAACCAUCUAGUAGCUGGUUACCGCCGAAGUUUCCCUCAGGAUAGCAGUGUUGUUUUCAGUUUUAUGAGGUAAAGCGAAUGAUUAGGGACUCGGGGGCGCUAUUUAGCCUUCAUCCAUUCUCAAACUUUAAAUAUGUAAGAAGCCCUUGUUACUUCAUUGAACGUGGGCCUUCGAAUGUAUCAACACUAGUGGGCCAUUUUUGGUAAGCAGAACUGGCGAUGCGGGAUGAACCGAACGCGGGGUUAAGGUGCCAGAGUGGACGCUCAUCAGACACCACAAAAGGCGUUAAUACAUCCUGACAGCAGGACGGUGGCCAUGGAAGUCGGAAUCCGCUAAGGACUGUGUAACAACUCACCUGCCGAAUGUA